rnacentral:rRNA from 1 species
UGCAGCCGAGCGGUAGAGAUUCUUCGGAAUCUUGAGAGCGGCGUACGGGUGCGGAACACGUGUGCAACCUGCCUUUAUCUGGGGGAUAGCCUUUCGAAAGGAAGAUUAAUACCCCAUAAUAUAUUGAAUGGCAUCAUUUGAUAUUGAAAACUCCGGUGGAUAGAGAUGGGCACGCGCAAGAUUAGAUAGUUGGUGARGUAACGGCUCACCAAGUCAACGAUCUUUAGGGGGCCUGAGAGGGUGAUCCCNCCACACUGGUACUGAGACACGGACCAGACUCCUACGGGAGGCAGCAGUGAGGAAUAUUGGACAAUGGGUGAGAGCCUGAUCCAGCCAUCCCGCGUGAAGGACGACGGCCCUAUGGGUUGUAAACUUCUUUUGUAUAGGGAUAAACCUAGAUACGUGUAUCUAGCUGAAGGUACUAUACGAAUAAGCACCGGCUAACUCCGUGCCAGCAGCCGCGGUAAUACGGAGGGUGCAAGCGUUAUCCGGAUUUAUUGGGUUUAAAGGGUCCGUAGGCGGAUUUGUAAGUCAGUGGUGAAAUCUCACAGCUUAACUGUGAAACUGCCAUUGAUACUGCAAGUCUUGAGUGUUGUUGAAGUAGCUGGAAUAAGUAGUGUAGCGGUGAAAUGCAUAGAUAUUACUUAGAACACCAAUUGCGAAGGCAGGUUACUAAGCAACAACUGACGCUGAUGGACGAAAGCGUGGGGAGCGAACAGGAUUAGAUACCCUGGUAGUCCACGCCGUAAACGAUGCUAACUCGUUUUUGGGAUUUAAAUUUCAGAGACUAAGCGAAAGUGAUAAGUUAGCCACCUGGGGAGUACGAACGCAAGUUUGAAACUCAAAGGAAUUGACGGGGGCCCGCACAAGCGGUGGAUUAUGUGGUUUAAUUCGAUGAUACGCGAGGAACCUUACCAAGGCUUAAAUGGGAAAUGACAGGUUUAGAAAUAGACUUUUCUUCGGACAUUUUUCAAGGUGCUGCAUGGUUGUCGUCAGCUCGUGCCGUGAGGUGUUAGGUUAAGUCCUGCAACGAGCGCAACCCCUGUCACUAGUUGCCAUCAUUAAGUUGGGGACUCUAGUGAGACUGCCUACGCAAGUAGAGAGGAAGGUGGGGAUGACGUCAAAUCAUCACGGCCCUUACGCCUUGGGCCACACACGUAAUACAAUGGCCGGUACAGAGGGCAGCUACACUGCGAAGUGAUGCAAAUCUCGAAAGCCGGUCUCAGUUCGGAUUGGAGUCUGCAACUCGACUCUAUGAAGCUGGAAUCGCUAGUAAUCGCGCAUCAGCCAUGGCGCGGUGAAUACGUUCCCGGGCCUUGUACACACCGCCCGUCAAGCCAUGGAAGUCUGGGGUACCUGAAGUCG